rnacentral:rRNA from 1 species
CCUACGGGUGGCAGCAGUCGAGAAUCAUUCACAAUGGGGGAAACCCUGAUGGUGCGACGCCGCGUGGGGGAAUGAAGGUCUUCGGUUUGUAAACCCCUGUCAUGUGGGAGCAAAUUAAAAAGAUAGUACCACAAGAGGAAGAGACGGCUAACUCUGUGCCAGCAGCCGCGGUAAUGCAGAGGUCUCAAGCGUUGUUCGGAAUCACUGGGCGUAAAGCGUGCGGAGGCUGUGUCGUAAGGCGUGUGUGAAAGGCGCGGGCUCAACCCGCGGACGGCACAUGAUACUGCGAGACUAGAGUAAUGGAGGGGGAACCGGAAUUCUCGGUGUAGCAGUGAAAUGCGUAGAUAUCGAGAGGAACACUCGUGGCGAAGGCGGGUUCCUGGACAUUAACUGACGCUGAGGCACGAAGGCCAGGGGAGCGAAAGGGAUUAGAUACCCGGGUAGUC